GAUGAAUGCUGGCGGCGUGCCUAAUACAUGCAAGUCGAGCGAACGGACGAGAAGCUUGCUUUUCUGAUGUUAGCGGCGGACGGGUGAGUAACACGUGGAUAACCUACCUAUAAGACUGGGAUAACUUCGGGAAACCGGAGCUAAUACCGGAUAAUAUUUUGAACCGCAUGGUUCAAAAGUGAAAGACGGUCUUGCUGUCACUUAUAGAUGGAACCGAGCUGCAUUAGCUAGUUGGUAAGGUAACGGCUUACCAAGGCGACGAUGCAUAGCCGACCUGAGAGGGUGAUCGGCCACACUGGAACUGAGACACGGUCCAGACUCCUACGGGAGGCAGCAGUAGGGAAUCUUCCGCAAUGGGCGAAAGCCUGACGGAGCAACGCCGCGUGAGUGAUGAAGGUCUUCGGAUCGUAAAACUCUGUUAUUAGGGAAGAACAUAUGUGUAAGUAACUGUGCACAUCUUGACGGUACCUAAUCAGAAAGCCACGGCUAACUACGUG
rnacentral:rRNA from 1 species